rnacentral:tRNA from 1 species
GCGGUUGUAGUUCAAUGGCAGAACGACAGGUUGGUACCCAGGAGAUAAGAGUUCGAUUCUCUUCAAUCGCCCACCA